rnacentral:ncRNA from 1 species
UAUUUUUUUUUUAUAUGUAAAUUUUUGUAAAAUUAGAUUUUUAAAUAAAAAUUAAUUUUUUAGCAGUAAAAAAUUUUAAAUUUUAAAGAGAUUUUGAUUUAGAAAUGAAUAAUAAUAGUAAUAUAAUUUGUGCCAGCAAUUGCGGUUAAACAGAUAAUAUAAGUAAAAUUUAUUAGUGUUAAUUAAUAAGAAUUAUAAAUUUAAAAAUUUAAAUUUUUAGGUGAAAUUUAAAUUUAAUUAAAAAUUUGUUUUUUAUUAUGAAGUUAAAAAAUUUUUUAAUUAAACUGGGAUUAGAUACCCCAUUAUGAAAAGUGUAAAUUUGUCAUUAAGUUAUUUAUAGUUAUGAUCUUAAAAGUUAAAAAUUUUGGCGGUAUUUUAGUCUAUUUAGAGGAACCUGUUUUGUAAUUGAUAGUCCACGAUUUAUUUAACUUUUAUUAAAAUUUUCAUAUCGUUGUAAAAAAUAUUUUUAAAGAAUUAAAAUAUUUAAGAUUUAAAUUAUAAAAUAUUUCAAAUCAAGAUGAAGUUUAUAUAAAAGAAGUAAUGGGUUACAAUAAUUUUUAUUAUGGAAGAUUAAUUGAAAAUUAAUUUUGAAAUUGGAUUUAAAAGUAAUAUUUUUAAAAUAAAUAAAAUGAUUUUUAGCUCUAAAAUAUGUACAUAUUGCCCGUCGCUUUCGUUAUAAAAUGAAAUAAGUCGUAACAAAGUAGAAGUACUGGAAAGUGUUUCUAGAAUCAAAUUAGAGCUAAGAUUAGU